GCUAAGAAAAAGCAAACUUAUUGAAAUAUGAGGACGCAAAGCCACGGGCCUAAUGCAUUACUGCAACGACAUGACGGGUUGCCGAA
rnacentral:ncRNA from 1 species